rnacentral:rRNA from 1 species
UACGUAGGGGGCUAGCGUUGUCCGGAUUUAUUGGGCGUAAAGAGCGUGUAGGCGGCCAGGUAGGUCUGCUGUGAAAACUCGAGGCUUAACCUCGAGAUGUCGGCGGAAACCAUCUGGCUAGAGUCCGGAAGAGGAGAGUGGAAUUCCUGGUGUAGCGGUGAAAUGCGCAGAUAUCAGGAAGAACACCCGUGGCGAAGGCGGCUCUCUGGGCCGUAACUGACGCUGAGGAGCGAAAAGCGUGGGGAGCGAACAGG